AUACUUACCUGGCAGGGUAGAUACCAUGAUCACAAAGGUGGCUAUCCCAGGGCAAGGCUUAUCCACUGCACUCUGGAUGUGCUGACCCUUGAUAUUUCCUCAAAUUUGGGAAAGUUGGCUACAUAAUUAGUGGUAGUGGAGGACUGCAUUCACAUUUUCCUCUA
ensembl:snRNA U1 U1 spliceosomal RNA